AGAGAGUUUUGUUCAUACAGUGGACUCAGUAAGAACUUCAAAACCAGUGAAAUCCAAAUCAAUUGAAAUGACUGUGUGAUAUGGGGAGGUUCUCGUUGGUUAUUGGCAUCGAGAGAAAGACACUGAGAUACAGCGCAGAUGCAGCUGCAAAGAAGGCACAAAGGCAUCUCUAUUUCAUGAGGAAUUUGAAGAGAUUUGCGUACAGCUGCCGCAGACUCAACACAUUUCAUGACAUAUGCC